CGCAGUUCGGCGCGGGAUCUCUGCAGCCAGCGUUGCCGCCGAAGCCGCAGCUUCCUUCAGAGCCCCUCGGUACAGCCCUCCCCGAGGCCCCCCACUAGGGCACCCCGACUCCCCCGGCCCUGGAACUACUUGUGUAAAAAGUCUGAGCCGCCCGCAUCCAGGUGGAGGAGGGCAGGAUGGGGGGAGGCGCGGCGAAAUCGAUGCGCCAGGUCCUUAACGUGUAAUUGCACCUUCUAGGGCUGAGCAGAAAGGGACCCUUUGCCCACACCCCGCCCGCGCGCCCGCCAGCCCGGGAGAUCCGCGGCCGCCGCCGCCGCCAGGCUCAGAGGGAUCCCGCCGGACCUGCCCCUUCCACUGCGGCUCACUCUGCCCUGCCUGGCGCCAGCCCUGGAUCGCCGGCUUCCUAUUUCCACCGGACUGGGCUCCUCUCGACUCACUUUAUCAUCCCGUUCCAGGCUGGCGACUUCGCUGCUGAGCUGAAACUGCUAAUUUCUGUGACCAGCUUUUUUCUUAGCUGUGAUCUGGAUGAAUGAGUAGCUGUCUCACAGAGAUGACAAAAAUAAACUCUAAUCCCCCCCAAAAUUUCCACUACGUCUUUCUCAUGCAUAGAUUUAUGAUCUUCAAGCGCUCUGUGCAAUAUGCAAACUUUUUGUGUCUGUGUAUGUGCUGUUGUUUCCAGAUUUCACUACAUUGGUAUGCUGCUUUUCCCUUUCACCUCCCCCUCACCCCUCACACUAUGAAAUGCAGAAACCGUCUGAUCUCAAAGUAUGCCAAGAUGCCACUUUAUAGUGUCUUGGUAUUUGGGGUUUGAGUCUGACUUGGAAGUCAGGAGCCCUUGCCUAAGAGGUGAGUGGCUAAGUGUACAACGGGGGGUGGGGGAAGUAGACAGAACAGAGGACAGCCCUUUGCUUUACAUUUUUUUCCCUGCACCAUUCAAGCUUUAUGAUCUUGUUGGAAAACAUAUUUUCUCUGGUUAUACAACCAUCUCUGAACUUCUCUGUCAGCUUCAACAGUAAGGAUUCAGAAGUCACAAUUUUUUUUUUUUACUGGAAGAUUAAGCUUAUUGUCAGAUGUGCCUUUCAAUUAGGAGUCUUUGAUUUGCAGGAGCUAGAAUCAAGUGCUAGGAAAGCCAGCUGCAAUUUCACAAAUAUAACCUUUAAACUUUGGAGCUCAUCUGAUAUAUAAGGUCGGCCACAGAGAGCUCACAUUUUUGACCCUGCUUAGCAUGCAAAAUGAACCCCAGCAUGACUCUGGAAUUUUUGCUGUACCAGAGAUUCAUGUGCAUUUUGGUAGAGGACAUGUUCUCUAGCCUUACCUCAUGAUGUAUUGCACCCUUACAUUUAUAGCCCUGCAUUUUGGUUGUCAAUGGGGGCUGGAGGUGUCCAAGAAAGAAGGAAAAAAAAAAAGCAGAGAAAAGAAGGUAUGCCCUUGAAUAAAAUGAACAUGGAAGAAAGCUGGACUUGAGUUAGAUUGAGUUUUGUUUUCUAUUAAAUGUAUGAACAUGAUUCAUUCUAACUGACAUGUGCUCUGAUUAGUAAACUUAUUAAAAUACACAUCAGGGCACCAUUGAAAGCCUGCCUUUUUACCUUCCCCUUUGAUUGGUGACAGGUGGAAAGACACCUGCUUAAGGGAGGGGGAAACCUGAAAAUUCUUUGGUUCAGAAAUCAGGAAUUCCCCAUUUAAAAUGAUCAACAUUAACAUGCAUAUGGGAUAUUUACUCUUGAACAGAUGAGGAAAGAUCAUACCGAAGCGUUUAUCCUUCACAAAGGCCUUUCUCUAUCAAGGUCCUAGAUUAUCUGACGGUAAGACUACUUUAUUCAGGUCUUGCUGAGAUGCUGCAUUCUUAUACUCAUAUUUAUAAUAAAAAGCCCCAAUACAUGAUAAAAUAAUAGAAAAGGACUUUUUGAUUAGAGCAGGGGAAGGAAAGAGAACAGAUCAUCCAAAUCUUCUGGCCCUCCUAUUUUUUUUUUUUUUUUAAUUUCUCUUAUUUAGGUCUUGAACAGGAAGACUGUGUGACUGUAAUAUAACACCUUUUGGGGGUUCUGUUUCAUUAGCAAGCAAAGCUAUCAAGUGUGUGAAGUGUCACCAAACUCUCUGACACGCAAAGUAUAAUUUUAUGGUACGCUUUUGCUGUUGAUCUUUUAUGAGCUUCCAAUGAAGUAUUUGAAACUAAACCCAAAGGCUAAACCCAAAGAGUAUUGAUCACUUAAAUUAUUGCCAUCUUUCCAUUUUAUCAUAAAGGAAUUAGGAAUGAAGGUUGUUUUGUAGACCUUGCAGUAUCUUAGUUUUGAAUUUAUAUAUGUAUAUGUAUAUAUAUUUACUGAUAGGAUAUAUUGAUAUUGAUAUAUAAUUAUGAUUACUAGGACCUUUGCUGUUUUCAAACAAUAUAAAAGCCACAUUUCAAAAAUUUUAACUACCUAUAAUUGUAAUGCUUAUUUAACAACUUGGACGGAAGGGAAGGGGGACCCGUUGGGGGUUGCAAUUCUAAAACAGCUGUUAAAAUGAAGAGGUUAGGCUGUUUUCUUCUGGAUUUUAAAGUUACACUAUUUGAGAAUGUUUACCAUUCAGACAAAAAUUACAGUUAUGGCUAUUUUGUAAGCAAUUAAAAAAAAGAAUAUUGAUAAUAAAAAAAAUCCGUUCUUAA